CAGCAGCCGCGGGAAUACAGAGGGUGCGAGCGUUAAUCGGAUUUACUGGGCGUAAAGCGUGCGUAGGCGGCUUCUUAAGUCGGAUGUGAAAUCCCUGAGCUUAACUUAGGAAUUGCAUUCGAUACUGGGAAGCUAGAGUAUGGGAGAGGAUGGUAGAAUUCCAGGUGUAGCGGUGAAAUGCGUAGAGAUCUGGAGGAAUACCGAUGGCGAAGGCAGCCAUCUGGCCUAACACUGACGCUGAGGUACGAUAGCAUGGGGAGCAAACAGGAUUAGAUACCCGUGUAGUCCCUGUCUCUUAUAC
rnacentral:rRNA from 1 species